CAACCUUAUAUUAAAUAAUGCAAAUAGGUUCAACAGACGAAUUACAAAUGACUGGAAUAGGUACAGGUACAUUCAACCAGCAAUACUAUGGGCAUCAAUAUUGACGCUCCUUAUACACCAAAUAAAAUUAACAAAAUGAAAGAAAUCUAACAGACACAAUAAAGACCCAAAGACUGUCUUCCCCGACCAGCAAAUAUUAUCAUCACUUCUGGAAUUCACCGCAUCAAUUACAAAUUUGCAGUCUCCUUCAAAUAGAACAUCUUUAAUAUUGAGUUUCAUAGCAAGCAUCACUGCACAUUCAGCAGCUACAACUUCAGCAACUUCAGCAUUAGCAACUCUAAAGUUUCUAUACGCACACGCCAACACAAUACCAUAUCUAUCUCUAACAAUAACACCAGCAGUUGCAUGACCUGUUUCCCUAUCAAAACCAGCAUCAAAGUUAACUUUGAGGUAUCCUGGAGGAGGUGCUAACCACAUUUGUUCUUCUUGCACAGCUGUAUUAGUUCCAGUAAUAAUAACUUGUCCUUCGUCACACAAAUAUCUUUGUUUCCAUAAACUCCAAGCAUGUUUAGUUUUAUGCAAAACAUUAUCAUAUGAACAAGGAACUUUAGAAAAAAUACAUUCAUUCCUAUGCAACCAUAUAUGGAAGACAAGAUAUAUAUCAUAUGAAUAAUGUGCUGAAUUUGUCUUCACAUCCUCAGACAACCAUAAUAUCAACUGAUUAAUCCAUCUUUCAAUAGACCAAUCUGCCCUACUAUCUAUACACACAGACAUAGGACACAUGACCCAAAGGCGUUUAACUCAUUCACACCCAAAAAACAAAUGUUCUGUGGUUUCCAAAUACUUAUCACACCAGUAACAAUUAUGAUUCUCUAGGAAACCUCUACUCUGAAAGACAGACCCUACAGGGAGACAACCAAAAUAUAGUUUCCAAAGAAAAAGAAUUAAGUUUGCUGGUAACUGUAAUUUCCAAAUCUUUUUAAGUAACUUGGAAUUAACAUCCCUACUUGAAGACGUCUCAUUUCUCCGAAUCUCUACACGAUAAGCACUCUUUACCUUGAAUUUACCCUUUCUAUCCCAAAACCAGAUUAGUUCAUCGUUACUAUUUCUCCUGAUUUCAAUAUCUGUGAUACAACUCCACAGAGGAGUAGGAAGCAACUCUUGAAUGAGAUUCAUAUUCCAUGCAAAGGAAUUUUGGUCAAUUAGCUGGGAUACUGAUAAAGCUUCCAUCCCAGCUGGUAUUUCUACAAGGUUACAUAAAAGUGUUGGAUAACCUUGCCAAACAACCCAUGGAGCAAACCAUACAUUAACAUGUAACUCAUUUGCAAUUCUAAAAAGACACCCUUUCCUUACCAACUCAGCACACCCUCUUAAACUAUUCCAAAACCAUGAAGCCUCUCCUUUUUUUUUUAUUAAGCCCUUUCCACUCAUCAUUCCAACCUGUAUAAGUUCGCCUAAAAACACUAGACCAUACCGAAUCUGGUUGUUUGAGAACUCUCCACCAAUGUUUUGCCAAUAAGGCUUUGUUCAUACUACUUGUUUUCCUAAAACCAAUACCCAUAUUCUCCUUAGAUUUACAGAGAAAAUCCCAGGAUUUUAAAUGAAUCGCCUUUGAAUCUUGAGUCCCCCUCCACCAAAAAUCUCUUCUAAUCUUAUCAAGCUUGUCACAUACAGAUUCAAGAAGCUUGUAUGUUGACAUAACAUAAAUAGGUACCGCCUCCGCCACAGAUUUUAUAAGAACCAUUCUACAUGCUUGAGAUAAAAGUUUAGCCUGCCAUCCAACAACCUUAAACUGAACUCUAUCUAUAAGGUAUUGAAAAUCAUCUGAUCGUUUCCUACUUAACAAAAUAGGAACACCAAGAUAUUUCUCCUUUUCAUGGAAUUUUUUGACACCCCAAAGAUCUCUGAUUUGUUGUUGCAUUCUAACACUCACAUUACUACUAAAAAACACACUAGAUUUUGAAUAAUUAACAGCCUGACCAAAAGCCUCACAGUAAAGCUCAACAACAUGCAAUAAAUGCUCAGCCUCUUGCAAAUCCGCCUUACAGAAAAGUAUGAGGUCAUCCGCAUACAACAAAUGAGAUAUAACUGGAACUCCCCUUUUGAAUUUAAAACCAUGAAUAACCUCUUCAUUUUCUCUCUUCGCUACAACUCUAGAAAAAACUUCAGAAAUCAAGAUAAAAAGAUAAGGAGAUAGGGGAUCCCCUUGCCUAAUACCUCUACCAGGGACAAAGUCACCAAAAGGGGAACCAUUAAUAAGAACCUUGAAAGAAACCGUAGACAAACAUUGAUGAAUCAAUUGAACCCACUUCUCACUAAAACCCAACCAACGAAAGAUGUUUUCCAAGAAGGACCAUUCAACUCUAUCAAACGCCUUAGCCAUGUCCAUUUUAAUAGCAACCCAUCCCUGUUUUAGUUUUUAUUUUUUUCAUUCGAUAAAAGAGUUCAUGAAAGAGAGGUAUUAUCAGCAAUUGAUCUUCCCUUUAUAAAAGCACUUUGAUAGGGAGAAAUGAUUUUGUCAAGAAAAGGUUUAAGUCUAUUAGCUAGGAUUUUUGAAAUGAUCUUGUAAGAGAAAUUGCAAAGACUAAUAGGCCUAAACUGGGAUGGUUGAUCAGGUGCUUGAAUUUUAGGAAUUAAAGUAAUUAGGGUACUAUUAAUUUUAGUAGGGAUCCAAGCGUCUGCAAAAAAUUUCUGAACCAGAGCAAUGAUAGUAGGUCCCACCUCAUGCCAAACGGCCUUAUAAAAAAUUCCCUGAAAACCAUCAGGGGCUUUAAGACUACCCAUAUUUUUAACAACACACCAAAUCUCUUCUUCUUGAGGUAUUCAGAUUAAUUCUUCAUUAUAUAUGGAAGAAAUACAAGGCUGAAAUAACUCCCCAAUUUCACUCACAACACCAGGGUUAUUAGAAGUAAACAAAUCGAAAAAAUAAUUUACAAAAGUUUCUCCAAUAUUAUGAAAACCACUCAGCCAAAUCCCAUUUUUAUCUCUUAUCUUAGUAAUCCAAUUUUUCCUUUUUCUGUACAUAGUAGAUAAGUGAUAAAAUUUGGUAUUCCUACCAUUAUCUUUGAGCCAAGUAACACCAGAAUGUUGUUGCCAGUAAUCUUGUUCUUUUUCUAACAAUCCAAUUCUUUUUUCUUAGCUAAAACAGCUUCAUAAUCAUCUUUUUUAUCAACAUGACCCCAAAGAACAUCAAGCUCAUCUCUAACUUUUUUUACUUUUGUAAAUAUAUUACCAAAAUGAUUUUUAUUCCAUACUCUCAGAUUUUUCCUUGUAAUAUUUUGUUUAAUAAUAACUUGAUGACCAGGCGAUCCUCUCACCUCAGUCUCACAAGCCCUUUUAAUCACCUCUAAACAAGAAGAAUCUUUAAGCCACAUCUUAUGAAAACGAAAAGACUUAAAAGGGGGUUUAUCAAUUUUGGUAAGUGCCACUGUCAAAGCCAAAUGAUCAGAGGCAGCAUUAGAGAUGUGACUAACUUCUUUAUCCGGGAACAUAGUGACCCAUGAAUCAGUAGCUAGAACAUGGUCGAGCUGUUCUAAAAUUUUAUGUUCAAACUUUCUAUUAUUUGCCCAAGUAAAUUUAGGACCAUCGAACCCUAAAUCAGGAAGACCCAAGUCUUGAAUUAACUCAUUAAACUCCACAAGACUUCUAGUUAAGACACCAUUACCCCCCAAUUUUUCAUCAACUUUAGCAAUUGCAUUAAAAUCGGCCAACAAAACCCAAGGUCCAUGAACAUUAUUAGCAAUCAAACGAAUAUCAUCCCAAAUUUUUUUUCUAUGUGUAUAGGAUUUGGAUGACCAUAAACACAAGAAAAAAAACCAUUCAAUAUUAGAAGGGAAAUCAGAAACUUUACCCGUAAUGACGUUUGGCGAUGAAGCAAGAAUCUGAAUAUC
rnacentral:lncRNA from 1 species